rnacentral:rRNA from 1 species
UACGAACUGUGCAAACGUUAUUCGGAUUCACUGGGCUUAAAGGGUGCGUAGGCGGCCAUGUAAGUAGGGUGUGAAAUCCCCCGGCUUAGCCGGGGAACUGCGCCCUAAACUGUAUGGCUGGAGUGAGAUAGGGGUGUGUGGAACUUCCGGUGGAGCGGUGAAAUGUGUUGAUAUCGGAAGGAACGCCGGUGGCGAAAGCGACACACUGGGUCUCAACUGACGCUGAGGCACGAAAGCCAGGGGAGCGAACGGG